rnacentral:rRNA from 1 species
UACAGAGGUGGCAAGCGUUUCUCGGAAUUACUGGGCGUAAAGGGCGCGUAGGCGGCCUACUAAGUCAGACGUGAAAUCCCCCGGCUUAACCUGGGAACUGCGUCUGAUACUGGAAGGCUUGAGGUUGGGAGAGGGAUGUAGAAUUCCAGGUGUAGCGGUGAAAUGCGUAGAUAUCUGGAGGAAUACCGGUGGCGAAGGCGGCAUCCUGGACCAUAACUGACGCUGAGGAGCGAAAGCUAGGGGAGCAAACGGG